GAGGGAGGAGCAUGUCUCUCUCUCCUCUCAUGCUCCCUUGCGGUUCCCAUAAUUCCCAGCACAGGAUGUAGGAACCGCAAGGGAGCAUGAGAGAGAGAGAGACAUGCUCCUCUCUC
rnacentral:miRNA from 1 species